rnacentral:sRNA from 1 species
UUGAUUAUGAAAUUGUUGCCUCCAGUGCUGGCUUCUAGCAAGUGCACGCUGGUGACUUUCAUCCAACACCCUUGUGCACCUUUGGCCUCUUGCUAGCUUUGGCUUGCAGAGGAAUUUAUUUACACCAACUCGAAUGUAAUGAAAUUAUUGUUGUGCGUAAGCACGAAUGUACAACUUUCAACAACGGAUCUCUUGGCUCUCGCAUCGAUGAAGAACGCAGCGAAAUGCGAUAAGUAAUGUGAAUUGCAGAAUUCAGUGAAUCAUCGAAUCUUUGAACGCACCUUGCACCCUUUGGCACUCCGGAGGGUAUGCUCGUUUGAGUGUCAUUGUACUCUCACACUUCCGAUCCUUUGGAUUGGGAGUGGUGGACUUGGGUGUUGCCGCUUUACUGUGGCUCAUCUCAAAUGCAUUAGUGCAACUCUUGGUUAGACAUAGUACGGCGUGAUAAGUGUCUUCGCCGGCACCUCGCAAGAGGAUGGCUGAUUGGGAGCUCUGUGCUUCAAACCGUCUUCGGACAAUGACUGACAA